UACGUAGGGGGCAAGCGUUGUCCGGAUUUAUUGGGCGUAAAGCGCUCGCAGGUGGUCCGCUGCGUCGUGCGUGAAAGACCCCGGCUCAACUGGGGGGCGUCGUGCGAUACGGGCGGACUGGAGGCCAGUAGGGGGAUGCGGAAUUCCGGGUGUAGUGGUGGAAUGCGUAGAGAUCCGGAGGAACACCAGCGGCGAAGGCGGCAUCCUGGACUGGUCCUGACACUCAUGAGCGAAAGCGUGGGGAGCGAGUCCGG
rnacentral:rRNA from 1 species